rnacentral:rRNA from 1 species
UGGGGAAUUUUGGACAAUGGGCGCAAGCCUGAUCCAGCCAUGCCGCGUGCGGGAAGAAGGCCUUCGGGUUGUAAACCGCUUUUGUCAGGGAAGAAAUCUUCUGAGUUAAUACCUCGGGAGGAUGACGGUACCUGAAGAAUAAGCACCGGCUAACUACGUGCCAGCAGCCGCGGUAAUACGUAGGGUGCAAGCGUUAAUCGGAAUUACUGGGCGUAAAGCGUGCGCAGGCGGUUUUGUAAGACAGAGGUGAAAUCCCCGGGCUCAACCUGGGAACUGCCUUUGUGACUGCAAGGCUUGAGUGCGGCAGAGGGGGAUGGAAUUCCGCGUGUAGCAGUGAAAUGCGUAGAUAUGCGGAGGAACACCGAUGGCGAAGGCAAUCCCCUGGGCCUGCACUGACGCCCAUGCACGAAAGCGUGGGGAGCAAAACAGGAUUAGAUACCCUGGUAGUCCACGCCCUAAACGAUGUCAACUGGUUGUUGGGAAGGUUCCUUCUCAGUAACGUAGCUAACGCGUGAAGUUGACCGCCUGGGGAGUACGGCCGC